GAUGAAGAACGCAGCAAAAUGCGAUAAGUAAUGUGAAUUGCAGAAUUCAGUGAAUCAUCGAAUCUUUGAUCGCACAUUGCGCCCGCUGGUAUUCCGGCGGGCAUGCCUGUUCGAGCGUCAUUUCAACCCUCAAGCCCCCGGGUUUGGUGUUGGGGAUCGGCUCUGCCCUUCUGGGCGGUGCCGCCCCCGAAAUACAUUGGCGGUCUCGCUGCAGCCUCCAUUGCGUAGUAGCUAACACCUCGCAACUGGAACGCGGCGCGGCCAUGCCGUAAAACCCCAACUUCUGAAUGUUGACCUCGGAUCAGGUAGGAAUACCCGCUGAACUUAAGCAUAUCAAUAAGCGGAGGA
rnacentral:misc_RNA from 1 species